rnacentral:rRNA from 1 species
CCCAGACUCCUACGGGAGGCAGCAGUGGGGAAUAUUGCACAAUGGGGGGAACCCUGAUGCAGCGACGCCGCGUGAGUGAAGAAGUAUUUCGGUAUGUAAAGCUCUCUCAGCAGGGAAGAAAAUGACGGUACCUGACUAAGAAGCCCCGGCUAACUACGUGCCAGCAGCCGCGGUAAUACGUAGGGGGCAAGCGUUAUCCGGAUUUACUGGGUGUAAAGGGAGCGUAGACGGCAGAGCAAGUCUGAAGUGAAAGCCCGUGGCCCAACUGCGGGACUGCUUUGGAAACUGCCCGGCUAGAGUGCUGGAGAGGUAAGCGGAAUUCCUAGUGUAGCGGUGAAAUGCGUAGAUAUUAGGAGGAACACCAGUGGCGAAGGCGGCUUACUGGACAGUAACUGACGUUGAGGCUCGAAAGCGUGGGGAGCAAACAGGAUUAGAUACCCCGGUA